GACGAACGCUGGCGGCGUGCUUAACACAUGCAAGUCGAACGGAAAGGCCCUGCUUGCGGGGUACUCGAGUGGCGAACGGGUGAGUAACACGUGGGUGAUCUGCCCUGCACUUCGGGAUAAGCCUGGGAAACUGGGUCUAAUACCGGAUAUGACCUUCCAUGUAGUGGGGGGGGUGGAAAGAUUUAUCGGUGUGGGAUGAGCCCGCGGCCUAUCAGCUUGUUGGUGGGGUAAUGGCCUACCAAGGCGUCGACGGGUAGCCGGCCUGAGAGGGUGGACGGCCACAUUGGGACUGAGAUACGGCCCAGACUCCUACGGGAGGCAGCAGUGGGGAAUAUUGCACAAUGGGCGGAAGCCUUAUGCAGCGACGCCGCGUGGGGGAUGACGGCCUUCGGGUUGUAAACCUCUUUCGACAGGGACGAAGCUUCGGUGACGGUACCUGUAUAAGAAGCACCGGCUAACUACGUG
rnacentral:rRNA from 1 species